rnacentral:rRNA from 1 species
CUCCUUUGACGUUAGCGGCGGACGGGUGAGUAACACGUGGGUAACCUACCUAUAAGACUGGGAUAACUUCGGGAAACCGGAGCUAAUACCGGAUAAUAUUUCGAACCGCAUGGUUCGAUAGUGAAAGGUGGUUUUGCUAUCACUUAUAGAUGGACCCGCGCCGGAUUAGCUAGUUGGUAAGGUAACGGCUUACCAAGGCGACGAUACGUAGCCGACCUGAGAGGGUGAUCGGCCACACUGGAACUGAGACACGGUCCAGACUCCUACGGGAGGCAGCAGCU